rnacentral:snRNA from 1 species
UUUCAUAUUAUCUAUAUUUU